rnacentral:rRNA from 1 species
UACGUAGGGUGCGAGCGUUAAUCGGAAUUACUGGGCGUAAAGCGUGCGCAGGCGGUUUGCUAAGACAGGUGUGAAAUCCCCGGGCUUAACCUGGGAACUGCGCUUGUGACUGGCAGGCUAGAGUACGGUAGAGGGGGGUGGAAUUCCUGGUGUAGCAGUGAAAUGCGUAGAUAUCAGGAGGAACACCGAUGGCGAAGGCAGCCCCCUGGGCCUGUACUUACGCUCAUGCACGAAAGCGUGGGGAGCAAACAGGAUUAGAUACCCGUGUA